GAGGGUAUAGCUCAGUGGUAGAGUGCAUGCCUAGCAUGCACGAAGUCCUGAGUUCAAUGCUCAGUACCUCUA
rnacentral:tRNA from 1 species